GAUGAACGCUGGCGGCGUGCUUAACACAUGCAAGUCGAACGGAAAGGCUCCUGCUUGCAGGGGUACUCGAGUGGCGAACGGGUGUGUAACACGUGGGUGAUCUGCCCUGCACUUCGGGAUAAGCCUGGGAAACUGGGUCUAAUACCGGAUAGGACGAUGGUUUGGAUGCCAUUGUGGAAAGUUUUUCGGUGUGGGAUGAGCUCGCGGCCUAUCAGCUUGUUGGUGGGGUAAUGGCCUACCAAGGCGUCGACGGGUAGCCGGCCUGAGAGGGUGUACGGCCACAUUGGGACUGAGAUACGGCCCAGACUCCUACGGGAGGCAGCGGUGGGGAAUAUUGCACAAUGGGCGCAAGCCUGAGGCAGCGACGCCGCGUGGGGGAUGACGGCCUUCGGGUUGUAAACUCCUUUCGUCAGGGACGAGGCGAAAGUGACGGUACCUGGAUAAGAAGCACCGGCUAACUACGUG
rnacentral:rRNA from 1 species